GAUGAACGCUGGCGGCGUGCCUAAUACAUGCAAGUCGAGCGAACGGACGAGAAGCUUGCUUCUCUGAUGUUAGCGGCGGACGGGUGAGUAACACGUGGAUAACCUACCUAUAAGACUGGGAUAACUUCGGGAAACCGGAGCUAAUACCGGAUAAUAUUUUGAACCGCAUGGUUCAAAAGUAAAAGACGGUCUUGCUGUCACUUAUAGAUGGAUCCGCGCUGCAUUAGCUAGUUGGUAAGGUAACGGCUUACCAAGGCAACGAUGCAUAGCCGACCUGAGAGGGUGAGCUGCCACACUGGAACUGAGACACGGUCCAGACUCCUACGGGAGGCAGCAGUAGGGAAUCUUCCGCAAUGGGCGAAAGCCUGACGGAGCAACGCCGCGUGAGUGAUGAAGGUCUUCGGAUCGUAAAACUCUGUUAUUAGGGAAGAACAUAUGUGUAAGUAACUGUGCACAUCUUGACGGUACCUAAUCAGAAAGCCACGGCUAACUACGUG
rnacentral:rRNA from 1 species